UUGCCUGUGCCUCCAGGGAACUGCUGGCCCCUGGCAGGUCAGAGUGGGGUUGUAAUCAUCUCACUGUUCCACCCAGUCUCAAUCACUGCUUUGACAAUGGGACAUCUCCCAAAACACCAGUCACCUGAUGGAACCAACAAAAGCGCCCCAAGAGUGUUUUCUGCCUAUGGAAUGUUGACCAUAGGGGUAGAAGGGACCUUUUUGGGAACUUUCUUAUAUGACAGCCAAGGAAGAGAAUUUCAGACCUUCAACCUACCAAAAAGCCCCAGGCCAAACCAGGGUUUGGUUGGACCAGGGUCUGCUGUGCUGCCAAGUGAUCCUCAGCAAGUGUCACAGCCAGCUCGAGGUUGACUGGCCAAUAACAGCAGACCCUCUCUGCUUUUCCUGUUGGGAGCCCCUCCAUGAACUGCUGCAGUGUCAGCAUGUUCAGGAGCCAAGCUUCC